ACCGAAUUGGUGUAGGGGUCAACAUGCUAGAUUCUCAUUCUGGAGCCAGGAGUUCGAGUCUCCUAUUCGGUG
rnacentral:tRNA from 1 species